rnacentral:rRNA from 1 species
AGGGUUUGAUCAUGGCUCAGGACGAACGCUGGCGGCGUGCCUAAUACAUGCAAGUCGAACGAACCGCGACCGAGUGCUUGCACUUGGUCAAGGUGAGUGGCGAACGGGUGAGUAACACGUGGGUAACCUACCUCAUAGUGGGGGAUAACAGUCGGAAACGACUGCUAAUACCGCAUAGGACAUGGGAUCACAUGAUUCUGUGAGGAAAGGUGGCGCAAGCUAUCGCUAAGAGAUGGACCCGCGGUGCAUUAGCUAGUUGGUAGGGUAACGGCCUACCAAGGCAAUGAUGCAUAGCCGACCUGAGAGGGUGAUCGGCCACAUUGGGACUGAGACACGGCCCAAACUCCUACGGGAGGCAGCAGUAGGGAAUCUUCCGCAAUGGACGCAAGUCUGACGGAGCAACGCCGCGUGAGUGAAGAAGGUCUUCGGAUCGUAAAGCUCUGUUGUUAGAGAAGAACAGCGCAUAGAGUAACUGUUAUGCGUGUGACG